rnacentral:rRNA from 1 species
UACGAAGGGGGCUAGCGUUGCUCGGAAUCGCUGGGCGUAAAGGGUGCGUAGGCGGGGCUUUAAGUCAGGGGUGAAAUCCUGGAGCUCAACUCCAGAACUGCCUUUGAUACUGAGGAUCUUGAGUCCGGGAGAGGUGAGUGGAACUGCGAGUGUAGAGGUGAAAUUCGUAGAUAUUCGCAAGAACACCAGUGGCGAAGGCGGCUCACUGGCCCGCUACUGACGCUGAGGCACGAAAGCGUGGGGAGCGAACAGG